rnacentral:rRNA from 1 species
UACGUAGGUCGCAAGCGUUGUCCGGAUUUACUGGGGGUAAAGAGCGCGCAGACGGCUGGUCAAGUCCGAUGUGAAAGCUCCCGGCUUAACUGGGAAACGGCAUCGGAAACUGAUCGGCUUGAAGGUGGGAGAGAGUAGUGGAAUUCCCGGUGUAGUGGUGAAAUGCGUAGAUAUCGGGAGGAACACCAGUGGCGAAGGCGACUACUUGGCCCAUUCUUGACGCUGAGGCGCGAAAGCUAGGGGAGCGAACGGG